CACACAAAGAAAACAGUGAACAAAAAAAUUGAAAUCCCUCUUAUCCUAGCGACGCCUCUCCCAAAACCCUAGCCUCCCUGACCUCGGCGACCGCCUCCUUCCACCCCGGUGCAGCCGCGCGGCACCGUCUCCUUCCACCCCCCCAGCGACGCCUCUCCCAGAACCCUAGCCAACAUGACCCGGGUGACCACCUCCCUCCACCCGGUGCAGCCGCGCGGCUCUGUCUGCCUCCACCCCGGCGAGGGAGAAGUCGAUCUUUUCAAUUUUCUGAACAUGGAGAUUUCGUUGAAUUCGAUUUGGGACGAAUUUAGGGCUGCCGAUUCGAGGUUUGCUGAGCUGGCGUUGCAUUUGGAGGGGGGCUAGGGUUUUGCGAUAGGACCCCUUGUAAUGCUUGAUUCAGUUUAUUUGCUCGUCGAAUAAUAAUAUACAGAGGAUUGCGAAGAUGGUGGAUUUCAUCUCGUCCAAGGGGAGAUUUUUGGAGAAUGUGGGAGGAUUCAAUUUUUUCAAGUUCUCGUUGCUGGAGAAGCUGGCGCUCCUGUCGGAAGCUGAGCUUAGAGAGGCUGGUUUUGGGUAUAGCCAAAACUCAAGAAAGUUUUCUUCUUGGUAAUCUUGACAGUUAAAAUAAAUUUUGUCGCCUCUUCGAUAGAAAAGAGUUGAAUGUACAAGGAGCUAAAUAUAUUGUUGGCACUGUCGCGGCUUUGCAAUCAAAACCUGUAGGGGGUCUGGAGUGGCUUGCUUCUCUACGUAAAUUAGAUCUUCAAGGGGCAACUGGUGGCCUAUCUAAAACUUUUGAAAACAUCUAUGUCCAUUUGUACGGAAUGUAAUCAAAUGUUUUCUUUCCCAUUUUAUUUUUCUUUAGGAAAAAAAAUGGCAUUGUUGCUA